UACGAAGGGGGCAAGCGUUGUUCGGAAUUACUGGGCGUAAAGCGCGCGUAGGCGGACUGUCAAGUCAGAGGUGAAAUCCCGGGGCUUAACCCCGGAACUGCCUUUGAAACUGGUAGUCUGGAGUCCUGGAGGGGUUAGUGGAAUUCCGAGUGUAGAGGUGAAAUUCGUAGAUAUUCGGAAGAACACCGGUGGCGAAGGCGGCGCCCUGGACCGGUACUGACGCUGAGGCGCGAAAGCGUGGGGAGCAAACAGG
rnacentral:rRNA from 1 species